GCCUUGGUAGCUCAGCUGGCAGAGCGCGUGCCUUUUAAGCCCGUGGCCGCGGGUUCGAGUCCCGCUCGAGGUG
rfam:Perkinsus marinus ATCC 50983 gcontig_1104296775918, whole genome shotgun sequence.